UCUAAUAUGGCAGACUAGUGCUAUGGAUUUAAGCCCCAUUUAUAAGGAAUUCCUUUUUUAGAA
rnacentral:tRNA from 1 species